AACGAACGCUGGCGGCAUGCCUAACACAUGCAAGUCGAACGAGACCUUCGGGUCUAGUGGCGCACGGGUGCGUAACGCGUGGGAACCUGCCCUUAGGUUCGGAAUAACUCCCCGAAAGGGGUGCUAAUACCGGAUAAUGUCUUCGGACCAAAGAUUUAUCGCCUUUGGAUGGGCCCGCGUUGGAUUAGCUAGUUGGUAGGGUAAAAGCCUACCAAGGCGACGAUCCAUAGCUGGUCUGCGAGGAUGAUCAGCCACACUGGGACUGAGACACGGCCCAGACUCCUACGGGAGGCAGCAGUGGAGAAUAUUGGACGAUGGGCGAAAGCCUGAUCCAGCAAUGCCGCGUGAGUGAUGAAGGCCUUAGGGUUGUAAAGCUCUUUUACCCGGGAUGAUAAUGACAGUACCGGGAGAAUAAGCUCCGGCUAACUCCGUG
rnacentral:rRNA from 1 species